rnacentral:rRNA from 1 species
ACUCAAAUGAAUAGACGGGGGCCCGCACAAGCGGCGGAGCAUGUGGUUUAAUUCGACGCAACGCGAAGAACCUUACCAGGGCUUGACAUCGAGGGAAUAACGUAGAGAUACGUUAGUCUUCUUCGGAAGACCCGAAGACAGGUGGUGCAUGGUUGUCGUCAGCUCGUGUCGUGAGAUGUUGGGUUAAGUCCCGCAACGAGCGCAACCCCUAUCUUUAGUUGCCAGCAUUAAGUUGGGCACUCUAGAGAGACUGCCGGUGACAAACCGGAGGAAGGUGGGGAUGACGUCAAAUCAUCAUGCCCCUUAUGUCCUGGGCUACACACGUGCUACAAUGGCCUGUACAGAGGGUUGCGAAGCCGAGAGGUGGAGCUAAUCCCAAAAAGCAGGUCUCAGUUCGGAUUGUAGGCUGCAACUCGCCUACAUGAAGUCGGAGUCGCUAGUAAUCGCAGGUCAGCAUACUGCGGUGAAUACGUUCCCGGGCCUUGUACACACCGCCCGU